GCGAUUUUGGAAUGCAGGAUGCACAUCCUUCCCAGAUGAGACACCUCUCCAGCUGAAAAAAUCAAAUGCCAGGACAUCAGUAGCUGGUGCUUCAAUUUCCAAUUCCUGGUUCAGGUGUGGGGAUGGAUUCCAGAGCACUUCCGUGCUUGAGUCUCUGAAACCUACUGAUAAACAAUCCAGGUUUAAGAAGCAUCUUGGACAGCUGCUAACAUCUGCUGAAAGCACAGUAGGAUCUUCUGCUGCUGGAAGCUCUAAGGAGUCUGAGGACAUAAUAUGGAGCUCUAGUGGCAGUGAUUUUUCAGAUGAUGAAAACAAAACAUCAAUUUCAAGGUUAUGCAAUGAAAAAAGUUAUGCUUCUAAAGCAGA